CGAGAGGAAGGGACUUGUCCACAGCUAUUUUUAUAAUAACCCUGUGACAAGUAGGCUGAAGAACCACGCUAACUUGUAACCAACCAGUGGGGACAUAUGAGCAGCUUAGUCAAAGUCACAAGAAACACACUUCACGGAUGAGGAUUUUCUGAUACUAGAUGGAGUUUGGUUUCUCUUCUAUCAUGGUACAAAUUUAAGAAGUAAAGUCUCAGCGGGUGGGCACUCCUUUCCCUUCUAAGGACAUAGAGAGACAUCUUCCACAGAGUUUAGACUGUUCAGUGAAUGGCCACUCUGUGUUGAAGCCAGGCUCUUUUGUGAAACAUUCUAAGAUGGCUCUCAUCUGUACCAUUUUUCAGAAGAAGUCAUAUAUAAAGAAUAUAUGAAGAAGCCUUCGUAAAGGCCUGCAAAGGUGAGGUGGAUUUCUGUGAAAGGUGUCAAAGGAAGAAGGCUGUUUGUGAAGCAAUUGUGAAAGAGAAAGAAAGGAAGGGCUUAAAGAUAGCAAAGGAAGUAACAAAGCUUAACUCUGUUAAGGACCAUCUUAGAUACAGAAAACCCUGAAGAAUCUGAAAUCUGUUAUAAUUAAUAAAUGAAUGGAAAUGCAAAACAUAAAGGGUACUUAUGAACAAUCAGAAUGUGAAGCCACAGAAAUAACUGUUAUUAAUAGCAGCAGCAUUGCUGUUGCCGUAGUACAUACAGAUAUCCUGCUGAACAUACAAAUUCCUUUCACUCUCCUGCUUUUCAGAAAUGAGAAAGCUGAUUUAGAAUUCACAAAGAGCUAAAGGGGACCCCACAAUUCUGAAAAAGAAGAAUAUUGUAGAGUUUUAGUUUGAAAACUUACUACAAAAUGAUGGUAAUCAAAACUGUGUGAUAUAGUAUAGAGAUAGUGACAGAACAGAUUGAAAAUCCAGAAAUAAAUCCACUGAUUUUGUUAAGAUAAUACUAACAUAAUUCAAAGAGGAAACAGUGCUUUUUUUGUUUUUACACUAGAUACCCAUAUGUUUAUGAACAUAUUAAUAGCAAAAUUCCUAGAAAAAAAAAGUAGAGGUAAGUCAUCGUGAAUUUGAUUCAGAUAAAAAUUUAGUUAUAAUACCUAAAUUAUAUGUGAAGCGGGGAAAAGACAAAUUGGUCUCUAAGUGCACAUUUUUGCUUUAUAUAAUAGUAGUGACAAAGUGAACAGGUGAGCCAGAGAACAAAAGAAAACGUUUAUAAAUCAUUUAUCUGAUAAGAGAGCUAUAUCUAGGCUAUGUAUGGAUACCUUUUGACUUUAUAUUAAAAAUAAAUAAUAAAAACUAAAUUAAAAUGAGUAAACAUUUUGAACAGACACUUUACACAUAUAUUUUUUUAAAAAAUCAUGAAGUACUUGAGUAGAUGUAAACAUAAUAAAGUUUCAGGAAAGAGCAGGCGAGGAGCUCAAGAGUAUGUGCUUCUACUGUAACAAAGACAAUUUAAAAGAUGAUAGAAAAUAGCACCUUUUAGUAGAAACAUGAAAACAUGGGAUUGCUGGUGAGAAUGGAUAAUUUUUGGAAGCCAACCGAAUAAACUCACAGUGAUGAUGGUUAUGCAGAUCAUAUCAUCCAGAAAUCCUUACACUAUGUCUAUGCCAAGACCCUUACAUGAAUAUUCAUAGUACUAUUUUUAUAUCAACCAAAAAGUACAAACCAUACAAAUGUCCAUCAAUAGAUAAAGGGGGAGAGUGAUAUAUAUACACAAAGAUUAUUCCAUGGCAAUGAAAUGUUGAAGUAGUAACUGUAUGAACCCUGACACCUGAGCUCUGAGGAUCAGCCUUCUCACUGUUGUAGGGGAUCACUUUUAAAGCACGAUAACCUGUCUUUUCCCUAAAUAUAAUCCUACACAGAGCCUCAAUGUAUAAAGUACAGAGAAAUCCAAUUGCUAUGGACCAAAAAUGAAGCUGCAGAGUCUACUGUGGCUCUGACUGCAUAAUUAAUUCAAGAAGGAUGUCCUAGCAUAUACUUUUCUUGAAAGGACUCUGGAACAACUGGUGUUUAUUGCUAGGGAUAAACAUUUUGACCAGCAACUGCUUUGCCAGUUUCAGAGCUGUGUAUUGCUGUUAUUUUUAACAUCAGAUAUCUGAGCUUUCUUUCUGAGCACUGCUUCUUCAGUCUCCAUGCUUUAGAGUAAGUGAUCUCUUUUCACAUACAGAGUGUCCUAUUUUUGUAUUUCAUUGAUGAUUCUUUUUAAACUCUUCAUAUUUUAGACACAUCUUACCCUUUGUCCCCAAGCCUGAGUUAUUAUAUAAGAGCCCCAUGUACUCUGUCAACAUUUGGCUUCAAGAUUAUUGAAUUCCAACAAUUAUCAAGUGUGGGUGUCCAAAUGUGGCAGACAAGAAGUGGUUGACAAUACCUCUACCAUUAAUUUCAUAACAUUUACCUUCUCUUUCCACUUUGAAGCCUGUGUGUUGCUUUGUGGAAAGGUCCUUGUCUGCUAAUAUGAAGCAGAGGCCUUCCACAAAGAAGAGAUUUCUGAUUCUUCAUUAUUCAUACAGAUUUCAACUUGGUGAUGGAAAACACGGAAGUCAAGAAUGUGUAGUGCCUUUAUCCUCUGAGCAGAUGAAACUGGGAGAUGACAAGGUUUUAACCAAUCAUUAGAUUUUUAAGUGAAAGGAUAUUUCUAACUAAAGAAGGAGGAUUUUGAAGUGUCCCUUCUUUUAUUUCCAGUUACUUUCCAGUCCUUAGGCAUACUCAGCACUACUGAACUGAAGAGUGCACGCCCUGGGAGUCUGCUCUCCGUUUCUGCAGUGAAGUUCUUCAGAUCUGACAUCUUACAGACCUGCAAUUACAGUGUGUUAAUGUACAAGCCGCCUUUAGAUACAGGAGCACAGCCAGUGUGCUUCAGUAUUAGGAAAAUUAUUCUGUAAAAUUAGCCAACUGAGCUGGAAGAAAAUAAAGAACACUCACCAAAGGGGGGAAAGUGACAAAAAUUGCAAUCACUAAUGGAUUUUAAUUAUAAUUGUAUAAUAGUCUCUUGACAGAAGUACUCCUCAUUGUUUUGAUAAUUUCUGCCACUGGUCCAUUAGUCCUCUGCAUACUUACACAAGCGUCUAGACUACAAGGCAGAAGAAUGUGAAACUAGCAUUUAACUGCGCUCAAGAACCUUGAAUUAGAUCAGUUCAGUGGCAUUCUCCCUGUAUACCAUUAGCAAAUGCUUGGAAUCUGAGAAAUGGCAAGUAGUUUCCAAUUUAUAAUCAGAUCAUGCUUUGAAUUUCCUGACCAUCAUGAAAAAUGUAUCAAUAAAUAUUAAUCUAGUGAAUAUAUCUCAGUAGAUUAAUAAACAUGUGUUUAUGUUCAUUAUAUGUAUAUAUGUGUGUGUGUUUUAUAUUUUUUGUGUCUCUACAAUAACAUAUUAAAUUGCUUUUACUGGGUCAUAUAGCAGUUGUAUGCUGAGAAGUCCUACUCUUAAAGGUUUUGUAUGAGAUACAUCUGUGAUAGUGCUUUCAAGAAUCUAAGUAUGUGUUAACAUUUGGAACUACUAUACAGAAGAGGCAACACUGUAUAAAAAUGAAAAUAAUCACAUAAUUGAGGAGCUUCUAUAAUUAAUUGAGAAUAGAUUUAUAAGCUGUAUUGUUCUUAUGAAAACUAUUAUAUAGAACACAAAGAUGUUUUAAUUUAAGACAUACUUGGGCUCUCCAUGACUUUCUCACAAAAUAACAAUUGAAUAACCCUUAACAAAACUGAAUUUUUUUUCAGUAGAAAGUAACUUUGGGGUGGUAGGUAUAAUAGAAAAUUUCUCCCACCUGAACUUAAUGAUCUUAUUCACCUCCAAUUAACAAUUAGCUAAGUCAUAACUUAUAGUAAGUAUUUUAAUAGAUUUCAGGGAAAGCUUUGUGUCUGCAUACAAAAUUUGUACAUAUUUUCAAUAAUCCAAUUCAGAAUUAUUAAAACUUUAUACUAUCAAACCACAUAGAAUAAAUGUGGGGAAAAGUGUAGAAAAAUUUAACUAAUAAAUUGUUCUGUUAGGUGCUUGAAAAGCAAAUGAUCUCUGAAAGUAUGAGUUUGAUGUUUAGGCAAAAGGAGGGAAUCAUUCGUCUUUCUUCCGUCUUUCAAUUCUGUAUGUUUUAGGUUGACCAGCUAAAUUUCCUUAUUAGAUAUUGAUUAUGAUAUUGGAAAGUUUUCAUUAUAUUAGGAAAACAGGACUUAGGAAGAAUCAGAAACCACUGAGAGAGGAAAGGGCAGAAUGCCAAAGGUGCUAUCUCUCUUCUUGGUAAACAGGUUGUGCCAGAAUAUACAUCUAGGGAAAAGAACACUGGUCACAAAAGGGGAGAUUUUUUUUUCUCUUUUCUUAUUCAAAAUGCUUUAUAACAGAUGAUCCUUGCUUGCCUUAUAAACCAAGAUUUCAUGAGAAACACAGUAUAAAAAUAUUUCAGAGACUUCUUCAUUAUUCAUUUAUUUUAACCAUUUAUCUAUCAUACAUAGUAGCUAUGACUAUGAAUUGUACUGAAUAUUUCUGUUUCAAUAGUGAGUAAAAUUGAUGUGGACUCUGAUUUUACAAUAAUAGGUCCUGUGAGCACAUGGUAUACAUUGUGCUGAGCAUUAUAGGGGAAAAAUAAAUGAAUACCUGCACACAAAAGAUAUUUGUUAGGAACGUAUUCAGAGAAUCUGUGUAUGCUGAUGUUCAAAGAUGGCUUCUUUUGGGAAAUGCAUUUGAUUUGAAUUUCAUGACCACUGACCUUCAUUUUUAAAUUUUAAUUUGCUUCCUUUUCUCUACUCUACUUGAUACCUAUGCUAAUUUUAGUUAAUUUGCUUUAGACUCCAAAUAGGACCAAAAGUUAAUCCUGGCAGUCGAUUCAAUGGAAGGUGGUUAGGCAGCUCACUCAGCAGAGGCCUGGUUUAAUAUCCAGGAUUUCUGAGGUAGUUCUCACCCUUCGCAAACAUUCAUGUCUGAAGACUGAGGUACAGUAUGCUCUUCUGAAUGUCUCAUCUUCUGGGUUGUUUUGAUUGAUGUUCUUAAAUCUAAGACUAAGUCAUGUACCCAAAAAGCACAUCAUUUCCAUUGGAGUCAGAGCCAUUACCUUCUAGUAAUGGGUUUGCAAAUGUAUGCUGUGAUGAUUUGAUUGAAAAUGCCCACCCCUCAAAGGCCCACAGGGAAUGGCACUAUUAGGAGGUGUGACCUUGUUUGAGUAGGUGAGGCCUUUCUGGAGGAAAUAUGU
rnacentral:lncRNA from 1 species